CUACAACCUGAGAUUGGCUAGGAAACCUGGAAAUUGGCACUAAUGCACUAUAAAGCCUGCUUCGGUAGCACUGUCUCACCUAAGUCCCUCAACCUUGGCUGCAAUCAGGUAUUCAGUGGACAGCAUAAAACUAUUAAGGAGAUCUUUAACAGCCUGGGAUCAGAAAAGGAUGAAAAAUAUUGUGCUUCCUUCUUACCAUUUUGGAGAGAAAACUGGCAUACCAAAGAUACGCUGCACAUUCAAGUCUACUAAUCUACUCAUGGACAGUGCUGAAAGAACAGUUCACCUGGAAUGGGGCAGGAGGAAAAAGUAUGAAAUGUGUCUAUAAAAAUGCUGCACUUGACUGAA